UACGGAGGGUCCAAGCGUUAUCCGGAAUCAUUGGGUUUAAAGGGUCCGUAGGCGGUUUUGUAAGUCAGUGGUGAAAGCCCAUCGCUCAACGGUGGAACGGCCAUUGAUACUGCGAGACUUGAAUUAUUGGGAAGUAACUAGAAUAUGUAGUGUAGCGGUGAAAUGCUUAGAGAUUACAUGGAAUACCAAUUGCGAAGGCAGGUUACUACCAAUAUAUUGACGCUGAUGGACGAAAGCGUGGGGAGCGAACAGG
rnacentral:rRNA from 1 species